UACGAAGGGGGCUAGCGUUGCUCGGAAUCACUGGGCGUAAAGCGCACGUAGGCGGCUUGUUAAGUCAGGGGUGAAAUCCUGGAGCUCAACUCCAGAACUGCCUUUGAUACUGGCGAUCUUGAGUCCGGGAGAGGUGAGUGGAACUCCGAGUGUAGAGGUGAAAUUCGUAGAUAUUCGGAAGAACACCAGUGGCGAAGGCGGCUCACUGGCCCGGUACUGACGCUGAGGCGCGAAAGCGUGGGGAGCAAACAGG
rnacentral:rRNA from 1 species